GCCGGGUAACGCCCGGCGGGGGCGACCCUAGGGACAGUGCCACAGACAGCAAACCGCCGGCCCAGGUUGCGGUCCCUUCGCGGGACGGACCGUCGGCAAGGGUGAAAGGGUGCGGUAAGAGCGCACCGCGUUCCCGGCAACGGGGACGGCACGGUAAACCCCACCGGGAGCAAGACCAAGUAGGGACGGCACGCCACUUUCGUUCCUUUGGGAGCGAAAUAGGCAGGCGGGUUUCCGCGCCGCCGUCCGGGUCGGUCGCGUGAGGCGUUCGGUAACGGGCGUCCCAGAUGAAUGGCCAUCCAUCGCAUCGUCCGCCUUUGGCGGGCGGAGCGGGGACAGAACCCGGCUUACAGGCCGUCUGGCACC
rnacentral:RNase_P_RNA from 1 species